GACGAACCGUGCGAACGUUAUUCGGAAUCACUGGGCUUAAAGCGCGUGUAGGCGGGCCGGCACGUCGAUCGUUGAAAUCCCCCGGCUCAACCGGGGAAGUGGCCUCGAUACGACCGGCCUGGAGGGGGGUAGGGGAAUCGGGAACUUCCGGUGGAGCGGUGAAAUGCGUUGAGAUCGGAAGGAACGCCCGCGGCGAAAGCGCGGUUCUGGACCCCACCUGACGCUGAGACGCGAAAGCCAGGGGAGCGAACGGG
rnacentral:rRNA from 1 species